rnacentral:rRNA from 1 species
CCUACGGGUGGCAGCAGUGGGGAAUAUUGGACAAUGGGGGGAACCCUGAUCCAGCCAUGCCGCGUGUGUGAAGAAGGCCCUCGGGUUGUAAAGCACUUUCAGUGAGGAAGAACGCCUGGUGGUUAAUACCCAUCAGGAAAGACAUCACUCACAGAAGAAGCACCGGCUAACUCCGUGCCAGCAGCCGCGGUAAUACGGAGGGUGCGAGCGUUAAUCGGAAUUACUGGACGUAAAGCGCGCGUAGGUGGCUUGAUAAGCCGGUUGUGAAAGCCCCGGGCUCAACCUGGGAACGGCAUCCGGAACUGUCAAGCUAGAGUGCAGGAGAGGAAGGUAGAAUUCCCGGUGUAGCGGUGAAAUGCGUAGAGAUCGGGAGGAAUACCAGUGGCGAAGGCGGCCUUCUGGACUGACACUGACACUGAGGUGCGAAAGCGUGGGUAGCAAACAGGAUUAGAUACCCCAGUAGUC